rnacentral:rRNA from 1 species
UACGGAGGGAGCUAGCGUUGUUCGGAAUUACUGGGCGUAAAGGGUGCGUAGGCGGUUCGUUAAGUCUGUCGUGAAAUCCCCCGGGCUCAACCUGGGAAUGGCGAUGGAUACUGGCGAGCUAGAGUGUGUCAGAGGAUGGUGGAAUUCCCGGUGUAGCGGUGAAAUGCGUAGAGAUCGGGAGGAACAUCAGUGGCGAAGGCGGCCAUCUGGGGACAACACUGACGCUGAAGCACGAAAGCGUGGGGAGCAAACAGG